rnacentral:tRNA from 11 species
GCGGGUAUAGUGUUAAUGGUAGCAUAUGAGGUUUCCACCCUCCAGGUGCAGGUUCAAGUCCUGUUACUCGCUCCA